AUCACUGUUCAUUUUUUGCCUACAGGCGUUGGGAAGACUUUUCGAUAUAUAUAUAUAUAUAUAGCUUUACUCCAGCUUAGCUCAGUAACUGGAACAUCGUGCUGGUAGACUCAAUUUACUAAGUUAUUUGGUCCGACUUUGUUUCGAGGGCUAACAAAAGCAAUAAAAAAUACCUUGUAGAGGUGAUUGGAAUAUUGCCUUCUUGUGUUAACGAUCAAGCUAUAGCUUUCCACAGACAAACUAUGCCAUGCUCUCUUGAGCAACUGCUUUUAGCAAAGCUCUUGGAUUGGGUAGAGGGCCUUUUAUAGCUACGCCGUCUUCUUCAAUUAGCUACAGCUAAGCAAAGCUACGGAAGAGCACUCUGAAACAAGAGCUUAGCAGGUGAAGCAAGGCACUCUCAAACAAGAGCUUUGUUUGCGUAACAUAAAAGCACAAGUUGAAGAGUGCUUUUGCUACAGUGAACCCUGCUAAUAAUUUGACCUUGCGUAAAGAGGUCUCCUAAACAAAUGAAAGCCCCCACCUCAUCACUUCCUCUUUUAUGUACAAAGGUCAAGCUUUGAACUCUCUCCUUAGGGGGGCGGCAAAGCACUCUUUUUAUUUUGAGAGUGCUCUACAAGAGCAAAAAGCCUUAUAUGCAUGUGUGUGAUGUGAGUAAUGUAUGUAUGUAUGCAUGUAUCUGUCUUGUGGCAUGCUCAACUCAGUCUAUGCCCUCAUCAUGGAAGGGUUGAUAUUGUUGUGGUUAUUUUAAGUGCCAUUACUGGUGUACUUUGAACAUUUAAAGUUUCUUAUGUAUUAUAGACAUGCUGAAUUUGUAAUUAUCUUUUCUAUGUUAGGUCUGAGUUGAACAAUUUAAAUGAUUAUGUUCUGCUCGUGAUGUAGAACAUAGAAGAAUGGGAACCCCUCCUCUCCAUCUGGAUUUCAAGAAGCACUUCCCUAUUAAAACCCCCGCACCCAGUGCUUGAACUCCCCUUUCACACCUCAAAACAACCACUCCUACAAUCAUAUUCUGUUCUCCUUAUUUUUUUCUUCUAAAUUACAUUCUGAACUUUAUUCCACCUAAGUCCUAAAGGCCCCAUUGCUCUAAAACACACUCUUUCAGUCUCUAACGUACUGUGAGUGUAUGUAAGCCUCCUUGCCGUCUCAAUCUGUCUCAUUGUUUUUCUCUCUAAACAGUUGUUCUCAUUCUCUCAUAAGGACUUCCUCUUCAUCUGCCCUCUAUCUCCACCCCUUCUUCCUCUCCCUCACUGUCCAACACAUCUGCCUCUACCCUCACUCUAAAAAUUUGUGGUUUUUUGGGAGAUGGGUUCUGUUCUAAGAAAAAGAAGAAUUUGGGUUUUUUGGGAGAUGGCUGCUUCUAUUCUGAUAAGAAGAAGAAGAAACUGGGUUUUUCGGGAUGUGGGUUCUUUUGAUUUAAGAAGAUCAUAAUGAUCAUGAGCACAACAAUUGAAAGUGGAAAAAAUGCUUCUUUGAGGAGUUGGGCUAGUAGGUGAAUAGAACUUGGAUUGAGUUAAGAAGGUGGAUACUAGGAAGGGAUUUAACUGUGGAUUAGACUUGAAAAGAUGAUGGUAUAUUUUGAACUUGAAGAGGGGGAAAGUUGCAGGGAACUUUUGCAUAAAUGAUUCUUUUGCUGGGAAAGUUGCAGGGAGCUUUUGCACAAAUGCUCUUUUGCAAGCUUCCAUCCCAUGCUUGAACCCAACAUCUGUUUAUUGAAUAUAAUAACUGAAAGCCAAUCCAAUCCCAUUUAUCUACCCAUUUCUCUCUCUCUCAUUCAUUGAGUACAUGCAGUCUGGCACAUGAGAGAGAGAGACCCGAAUUAUAGAGAGUGAGUGGGAGAGAGACCCGAAUAUUAUAGGUGUUUUUUGGCACUAGAGUUUAUAGUGUAAAUUUCCCAAGGAGAAUGUAGUUUAACUUGUUACCAUCUUGCCGGUGUUAUUUGGCUUGAAUGUCUCCCAUUAUUUUGAAUAAGAAUGAAUAUUCACUUUUAGCUAGCUGACUAUAGAUUUCAAUAUUAUUUAUAAAAUUUUCUGAUAUGUUUUAUUGUUAUAUUAUUUUCUUUAAAUAUUUUCACUAGCCUGAACUUAUGUGAUUUCUCUACAUUUUUCGUAGUAUCUGUCAUCCGAAUAGACACAUGUUCUAUAAUUGUAACUUAUAAUUCGGCUGCAUCAUUGUUCACUCAUAAAGUUAACUCUAAACCGGAAGGGUGGUUUUGAGCCCAAGUCACAAGUUUUAGAUGUCUGCUUUCAAUAUGUUGACAUGUUUACUGAUCCACGUGGCUAUACUGCAGACUUCAUUGUAGGCUGAUGCCAAUGAGUAGAUCCUACAUAUGAAGUUCGUCAAUAGAAAAUAAUGAGAAUUUCUUAAAAUUAAUCUAUAUUAAAAAACAAAAAAAAAAUAGAAUUUGUAAAUUAAGAGGUAUUUAUGAGCCUAGUGUUAUGCAUUUUUUGUCUGAUAUUGUUCUCAUACAUUUAUUGGCAUCUUAGAUUGAUCAGUUUGGGAGACAAAACCUAGGGAUGCAAACUCUAUUUUGAUAUGGCCUGCUAGCAGAUUUAAUGCAUCAUAUCAUUGUGCAGGAAAGAUGGCAUUCAUGCAUAUUUAAGAAGAAGUAAUAUUUGUUGAUUACAGUAAAACAAAUACGUUGAGAUAUGAUGAAUUUUAAUAUCAUUACAUGGUCAACCGUCAUAGAUACUGCACAGAUCAACAAAUCUUGACUCUUGGACUCCAGAGUAGUUGAAAAUGAUGAGCUUUGGGGGAAAUAAUCGUGCUCAGGUUUUCUUUAAACAACAUGGAAGGAUCAACAAAGGUAGAAUCGAAUCAAAAUACACAUCAAGAGUAGCUAAAUUAUACCAUCAAUUACUUUCAAAGGAAGUUUCCAGAAGCUUGACAGAGGACCCAGAAUCUCCUAUAUCACCCCUUUCUUCUUUAGCAAAUCAGACAGUAAAUGGUAUAUCUCAUGUGAAGUUUACUGGUACAUCCAAAGAAAAUGAGGCUGAUGAUAAACAUGAUGUACUUGAAGUUCUUACCUCAACAAAAGCUCCUUCCCAUCCAGUUACCAGUACCAUAUAAAAGCCCAUUGGUGCAAGAAAGGGAAGUAAGACGGGAGGUCUUGAUGCCUAAAAGCUUACUACAAAGGUUGAGGAAACCAACGAAGCCCAACAAAAGUUUUCUAAUGCAAAAUCUAUUUCAUCAACUGAGUUCUUUGGGGAUCAAAAGUGAUGCUUCUUCCCAAAUCUGCUAGCAAAAGUUGUCAAUAUGCUUCCUCUCUCUUCCUCGUCCCCUAUUAUUUGUGUGUUUGUGCAUGUGCAGUACAUAUCACACACACACAUGCAUACACCCAUAUCUACACAUUCAUAUACACGUUUUUUACUACUCCCAUUUAGUGAAAACUUGCCCAGCAUGGUUUACUCCACUAUUUGAGUGUGACAGACGUUUGUAACUCCACUGAUCAACUAAGAGUUGUCCAUUACCCUUUAAAAAAAAAUGUUUUUUCCUUAUUCUAAGCAACUCUCCUUCUUGUUGGAAUUGGCCUUUGUGUUUUUGGCUAAAUGAUAUUCUAUUCCUAUGGGAGUAGAAUGUCUAUUAACUCCCUCGGGUACAACCCCACCUAGAAUUAGUUUUAGGACCCCAAAUUUGGGGAAUGUAACCCCUUCAAUCCAUAGACUAAAAAAGAUCCUUAUCAUACCCACUAUGCACUUGAAAAAACAAUGUCCUGAGAAUGAAUAGAGACUAUUAAUUUUUAGAUGGCAAGGUUUAAGUGUUAGAAAACUCAAAUUUCAAAUUUUUUUUCUGAGAGGAAUCAUCUAGUAAUUCUUAAGUCUUUCCCAAAAAUUCAGAUUUUGUUUGACAUUAUCUCAAUGGACACAAUGACCUAACAAAAUAUGUGCCCUUAUGAAUGCUUGGGCUAGUUUUUCUCCUUUUUAGGCAGCAUUCAAAUGUUGCAAGACAUCUUGCAGACAACAUCAGGUUAUAACUUUUUUCUCCACAUUCGAAUCACUAAGUUUCUCGAUAAUUUUAUUUUCUCUUUCAUCUUGUGUUUAGUAAUUGGUCGAUGCUUUGUGUAGAGCUUGACAUCCAUAUCCAGUGCUGAUCUUUUUGGACAUUACACAGAUGAUCCUAGCCGUGAUCUGUCCGCAAGUGAUCUCAUCAAUCGGAUUUCAUUCCAGGAACCACAAUUUGGAAUGUUGAGACUUCCCGAGGAGCUGCACUGCUACACCAACUUCACAUAUGGCUCUCUGAUGAUCCUCCUCCUGUAGAAAUACAAACAGAUAGUUCCAGUGAUGAUACAUACAUUGGACUCUCACACAACCCGUCCAAUCCAUCUUCACCAAGCUAUGAUUCAGACGAUUAUCCUCUCAAUUAUGACAUUGAUUGAAAAACAUUAUUCAACAUCACUGUGGAUAUCACUAUUAUAUCGGCAACACUGUUCAACAUCACUGUGGAUAUCACUAUUCUAUUGGCAACACUGUUCAACUUCACUGUAAAUAUCACUGUUCAAGACAAGCAAGAAUCUCCACUGUUCACUGUUCAGGUCGGCCACCUGUCCACUGUUCACUGUUCAUGUCGGCCACCUGUCCACUGUUCACUGUUCUUGUCGGCCACCUGUUCACUGCUCACAGUUCAUGUCGGCCACCUGUUCACUGUUCACUGUUCAUGUCGGGCACCUGUCCACUGUACAUCUAAUUUUACUGUUCAUAAUAGCCACCUGUCUUGGCCAGCUGACUUUUUUUAUUGUUGUUUUGAAUUUGGAUUUCAAGUCCGAUGCCUAUAUAAGGCCCUUUAAGUCAGUUGUAACGGCAGAGUGCUACUUAGAGCCUCUCAGCCUAGUUUCUUUCUUGGUGUGCUUCUUUCAUACUUCUGCUUUUGCUUGUAAGCUUGUUGCUUCUUUCAUUUUUUUGCUUUUUCUUGUAAGCUUCUUGCUUCUUUCACACUUCUGCUUUUGCUUGAUUGAACUUGUAAGUUUGAUCCUUAUAUUUUUUUUAUAAACUAUCGGUGUGCAUGGAUGUUCAUUA